UGCCUUACCUGCAAGUCGGACGGUAACAGGUCUUCGGACGCUGACGAAUGGCGAACGGGUGAGUAAUACAUCGGAACGUGCCCAGUCGUGGGGGAUAACUACUCGAGAGAGUAGCUAAUACCGCAUACGAUCUGAGGAUGAAAGCGGGGGACCUUCGGGCCUCGCGCGAUUGGAGCGGCCGAUGGCAGAUUAGGUAGUUGGUGGGAUAAAAGCUUACCAAGCCGACGAUCUGUAGCUGGUCUGAGAGGACGACCAGCCACACUGGGACUGAGACACGGCCCAGACUCCUACGGGAGGCAGCAGUGGGGAAUUUUGGACAAUGGGCGAAAGCCUGAUCCAGCAAUGCCGCGUGCAGGAUGAAGGCCUUCGGGUUGUAAACUGCUUUUGUACGGAACGAAAAAGCUUCUCCUAAUACGAGAGGCCCAUGACGGUACCGUAAGAAUAAGCACCGGCUAACUACGUGCCAGCAGCCGCGGUAAUACGUAGGGUGCGAGCGUUAAUCGGAAUUACUGGGCGUAAAGCGUGCGCAGGCGGUUAUGUAAGACAGAUGUGAAAUCCCCGGGCUCAACCUGGGAACUGCAUUUGUGACUGCAUGGCUAGAGUACGGUAGAGGGGGAUGGAAUUCCGCGUGUAGCAGUGAAAUGCGUAGAUAUGCGGAGGAACACCGAUGG
rnacentral:rRNA from 1 species